AACGGGGGGGGCAAGUGUUCGGAAUUACUGGGCGUAAAGCGUGCGCAGGCGGCUUCUCAAGUCAGGGGUGAAAGCCCAGAGCUCAACUCUGGAACUGCCUUUGAGACUGAGAGGCUUGAGUACGGGAGAGGUGAGUGGAAUUCCCAGUGUAGAGGUGAAAUUCGUAGAUAUUGGGAAGAACACCGGUGGCGAAGGCGGCUCACUGGCCCGUAACUGACGCUCAUGCACGACAGCGUGGGGAUCAAACAGG
rnacentral:rRNA from 1 species